rnacentral:lncRNA from 1 species
CCCUAUUAGAGAGGGAGCUUUAGGGUUAUGGGAUGUCCAGGAGAGGCCCCAGGAUGCAAACGGCAAAGUGUUAGCACUUCCCUCUGUUACUGCAAAGAGGGUGGAGCGACUGAGGCUGAGAGACGGAAGGAACUGAAGUAGUCAAACUAUGGCCCUGUGGGGCCUUGAGGAGAAUCCAGGCCAAACCUCUUUCACCUGCCCCUCCUGAGGACCAGAUACUACUACCAAUACCUCCAUUUUGCAGAUGAGGAAAUGGAGGCACAGGGAAGGUAGGUCACUUGCCCACAAUCAGGUAGGGGGUGGUGCUGAUUUGAGCUGAGCCUAGUUCCAUAGUCUUUCCUCUUCUUCUCUGCACUAUGCUGCUGAAUAGGGAAACUGAGGCCAAGGCAGGAGUGGCUGGAGA